rnacentral:rRNA from 1 species
CUGCUGCCUCCCGUAGGAGUCUGGUCCGUGUCUCAGUACCAGUGUGGGGGACCUUCCUCUCAGAACCCCUACGCAUCGUCGCCUCGGUGGGCCGUUACCCCGCCGACUAGCUAAUGCGACGCAUGGCCAUCCUAUGCCGGAGUCACCUCCUUUGACCCCAAGAAGAUGUCUCCUAAAGGUGUUAUGCGGUAUUAGACGGAAUUUCUUCCGCUUAUCCCCCUGCAUAGGGCAGGUUCCAUACGUGUUACUCACCCGUGCGCCGG